ensembl:lncRNA
CCCUGGCUAGUCUCCAACUCACAGCAAUCCUGCCUCAGCCUACCUAGUGCUGGGAUUAAAGGCGUGUGAACCACACCAGGUCUAAAAGUAAUGGAGCCAGCCAACCACAGACUGAAACCUCUGAAAUGCUCAGCGAGGCAGAAACAAUAAAUGAAGAAUGGACCGAAUUUCCUCAACCUGAUAAAAAGCAUCAUUAUAUUUAACAGUGAAAGCAUGAAUACUUUCUCCCCAAGGCCAGGAAUGUGACAAGAAUGUCGACUUUUAGCACUUCUGUUCAACAUUGUACUAGAGGUCCUAGCUAGGGAAGUUAGGCAAGAAAAAGACAUCCAAAUUAGAAAGGAACUAGUAAAACUAUCUCUAUUCACAAAUAACACGCUCUUAUAUGUAGAAAAUUUUAAGGAAUCACUAAAAGCCAUGAGAACUAAAAAAAGCUCACCAAGUUUUCAGCAUACAGAUCAUUGUAUUUUUAUACAUAUGGAAUGAAGUCAAAAUUAAAAAGCAAUUCCAUUUAUAGUAGCAUCAAAAAGAAUAAAAUAUUUUGGAACAAAA